UACGUAGGUGGCAAGCGUUGUCCGGAUUUACUGGGCGUAAAGCGUGCGCAGGCGGUCGGGUAAGACAGGUGUGAAAUCCCCGGGCUUAACCUGGGAACUGCAUUUGUGACUGCACGGCUGGAGUGCGGCAGAGGGGGAUGGAAUUCCGCGUGUAGCAGUGAAAUGCGUAGAUAUGCGGAGGAACACCGGUGGCGAAGGCGGCAUCCUGGACCGGCAUUGACGCUGAGGAGCGAAAGCCAGGGGAGCAAACGGG
rnacentral:rRNA from 1 species